GCCGAGGUGACGAAAUCGGUAUACGUGAGGGCCUUAAGAGCCCUUGUCCUUUUGGGCGUGCGGGUUCGAGUCCCGCCCUCGGCA
rnacentral:tRNA from 4 species